rfam:Macrostomum lignano uti_cns_0008696, whole genome shotgun sequence.
GGGAUUGUAGUUUAGUGGUUAGAGCGUUGGACUAACGAUUUGAAGGUCGGGGGUUCGAUUCCCGAUCCCG